UUUCUAGAACAGUAUUUCAAAUAAUUAUUCACUUUAACACAUAAAAUCACUAUUUUUCUGAGAGCCCAAAUUGAC